rnacentral:rRNA from 1 species
ACACUAUCAUUAACUGAAUCCAUAGGUUAAUGAGGCGAACCGGGGGAACUGAAACAUCUAAGUACCCCGAGGAAAAGAAAUCAACCGAGAUUCCCCCAGUAGCGGCGAGCGAACGGGGAGGAGCCCAGAGCCUGAAUCAGUGUGUGUGUUAGUGGAAGCGUCUGGAAAGGCGCGCGAUACAGGGUGACAGCCCCGUACACAAAAAUGCACAUGCUGUGAGCUCGAUGAGUAGGGCGGGACACGUGGUAUCCUGUCUGAAUAUGGGGGGACCAUCCUCCAAGGCUAAAUACUCCUGACUGACCGAUAGUGAACCAGUACCGUGAGGGAAAGGCGAAAAGAACCCCGGCGAGGGGAGUGAAAAAGAACCUGAAACCGUGUACGUACAAGCAGUGGGAGCACAGAGCAAUCUGUGUGACUGCGUACCUUUUGUAUAAUGGGUCAGCGACUUAUAUUCUGUAGCAAGGUUAACCGAAUAGGGGAGCCGAAGGGAAACCGAGUCUUAACUGGGCGUUAAGUUGCAGGGUAUAGACCCGAAACCCGGUGAUCUAGCCAUGGGCAGGUUGAAGGUUGGGUAACACUAACUGGAGGACCGAACCGACUAAUGUUGAAAAAUUAGCGGAUGACUUGUGGCUGGGGGUGAAAGGCCAAUCAAACCGGGAGAUAGCUGGUUCUCCCCGAAAGCUAUUUAGGUAGCGCCUCGUGAAUUCAUCUCCGGGGGUAGAGCACUGUUUCGGCAAGGGGGUCAUCCCGACUUACCAACCCGAUGCAAACUGCGAAUACCGGAGAAUGUUAUCACGGGAGACACACGGCGGGUGCUAACGUCCGUCGUGAAGAGGGAAACAACCCAGACCGCCAGCUAAGGUCCCAAAGUCAUGGUUAAGUGGGAAACGAUGUGGGAAGGCCCAGACAGCCAGGAUGUUGGCUUAGAAGCAGCCAUCAUUUAAAGAAAGCGUAAUAGCUCACUGGUCGAGUCGGCCUGCGCGGAAGAUGUAACGGGGCUAAACCAUGCACCGAAGCUGCGGCAGCGACACUAUGUGUUGUUGGGUAGGGGAGCGUUCUGUAAGCCUGUGAAGGUGUACUGUGAGGUAUGCUGGAGGUAUCAGAAGUGCGAAUGCUGACAUAAGUAACGAUAAAGCGGGUGAAAAGCCCGCUCGCCGGAAGACCAAGGGUUCCUGUCCAACGUUAAUCGGGGCAGGGUGAGUCGACCCCUAAGGCGAGGCCGAAAGGCGUAGUCGAUGGGAAACAGGUUAAUAUUCCUGUACUUGGUGUUACUGCGAAGGGGGGACGGAGAAGGCUAUGUUGGCCGGGCGACGGUUGUCCCGGUUUAAGCGUGUAGGCUGGUUUUCCAGGCAAAUCCGGAAAAUCAAGGCUGAGGCGUGAUGACGAGGCACUACGGUGCUGAAGCAACAAAUGCCCUGCUUCCAGGAAAAGCCUCUAAGCAUCAGGUAACAUCAAAUCGUACCCCAAACCGACACAGGUGGUCAGGUAGAGAAUACCAAGGCGCUUGAGAGAACUCGGGUGAAGGAACUAGGCAAAAUGGUGCCGUAACUUCGGGAGAAGGCACGCUGAUAUGUAGGUGAAGUCCCUCGCGGAUGGAGCUGAAAUCAGUCGAAGAUACCAGCUGGCUGCAACUGUUUAUUAAAAACACAGCACUGUGCAAACACGAAAGUGGACGUAUACGGUGUGACGCCUGCCCGGUGCCGGAAGGUUAAUUGAUGGGGUUAGCGCAAGCGAAGCUCUUGAUCGAAGCCCCGGUAAACGGCGGCCGUAACUAUAACGGUCCUAAGGUAGCGAAAUUCCUUGUCGGGUAAGUUCCGACCUGCACGAAUGGCGUAAUGAUGGCCAGGCUGUCUCCACCCGAGACUCAGUGAAAUUGAACUCGCUGUGAAGAUGCAGUGUACCCGCGGCAAGACGGAAAGACCCCGUGAACCUUUACUAUAGCUUGACACUGAACAUUGAGCCUUGAUGUGUAGGAUAGGUGGGAGGCUUUGAAGUGUGGACGCCAGUCUGCAUGGAGCCGACCUUGAAAUACCACCCUUUAAUGUUUGAUGUUCUAACGUUGACCCGUGAUCCGGGUUGCGGACAGUGUCUGGUGGGUAGUUUGACUGGGGCGGUCUCCUCCUAAAGAGUAACGGAGGAGCACGAAGGUUGGCUAAUCCUGGUCGGACAUCAGGAGGUUAGUGCAAUGGCAUAAGCCAGCUUGACUGCGAGCGUGACGGCGCGAGCAGGUGCGAAAGCAGGUCAUAGUGAUCCGGUGGUUCUGAAUGGAAGGGCCAUCGCUCAACGGAUAAAAGGUACUCCGGGGAUAACAGGCUGAUACCGCCCAAGAGUUCAUAUCGACGGCGGUGUUUGGCACCUCGAUGUCGGCUCAUCACAUCCUGGGGCUGAAGUAGGUCCCAAGGGUAUGGCUGUUCGCCAUUUAAAGUGGUACGCGAGCUGGGUUUAGAACGUCGUGAGACAGUUCGGUCCCUAUCUGCCGUGGGCGCUGGAGAACUGAGGGGGGCUGCUCCUAGUACGAGAGGACCGGAGUGGACGCAUCACUGGUGUUCGGGUUGUCAUGCCAAUGGCACUGCCCGGUAGCUAAAUGCGGAAGAGAUAAGUGCUGAAAGCAUCUAAGCACGAAACUUGCCCCGAGAUGAGUUCUCCCUGACUCCUUGAGAGUCCUGAAGGAACGUUGAAGACGACGACGUUGAUAGGCCGGGUGUGUAAGCGCAGCGAUGCGUUGAGCUAACCGGUACUAAUGAACCGUGAGGCUUAACCUU